ACCACACAGCACCCAAACAUUCUCUGAAAGCUGUUUGUGAUCCAGCGGGUGACGUGAUCAUGCCUCAUCUUCUUGAAACACUUCUUGUUCUGUUCUUCUCAUGAUCUCCCAAACUGUUUUUUUAAAGAUUUACUUACUAUAACCUUCAGUUUCAGGAAUUUGAUGCCAGAGCUGGGAGCAUGCAUGCUGUAUGUACCCCCGUGUUUUUCUUUGAAUGGCUUUUGUGCAUAAUUGCUCCUUUCUUCUUUUUUUUAGCUGAGAGAGGUUAGAACAGGGUUGGACACCCCUGGGUAGAACAAUUUAGGAGGUCUUUGGGGGCACUGCCGCCAAGGGUACCUUUGCACCUGAUUUUGUGGCCUUCACUUCCAUUUGAGGAUGGAUAUCUUCUGGUUAAUAGAGGAUUUGUUUUUGUUUUUUUUACACCACCUGAAAGUGGCCGAGCAGGAAGAAAACUUGCAAGCAGUUUAACAUUAUGCUGCUAGAAAUGAAAUAAUUGUGGUAAUGUUUGAAGCAUUUCAGAAUGUAUGAAUCAAGGCAGUCCAGUCAGUACACACUAUUAGGGCUUAUCCUUCUGACCAGGUGAUUUUUUUAAAAAGGGCUGCUGUUAGCACUACGGUUUAUCUUACCGCUGUGAAGGAGCCGUGCUGCGGGCUGGUUUAGAAGAACAUAUGGCAAUAACGAAUUCUUUUGUUCUCCGUUCAGUCUCUUGUAUUCACGUCAAACAAGUUCAUUUGUAAAUAAAUGCGACAAAUUAUCUUUAAAGCUUUCCUACCCUGUUCCAGUAUAAAAUUGCAUAUGUUGAGAACUUUGUUCCAAAAUGUCCCACUGACACCACAGGUAAUGGGGUCUAGGCCAACUUUAUAAAAACAAAAAAACUUCCAAACCUUUCACUGUUAGACUUUUAGACCUGAAUUUGUUCUGCCAGUGUGCAAAUUCCAUUUUAGAGGGACUUGCACAAGUACAUCGAUUUAAAACUGGUCAGAAAGUCUGUGUUUUGAAAUAUGUUUUGUAGCAGACGAUAUUGAAUACUAUUUAAAUGUCUGUAUUUUGACAAAUCCAUUGAGUUUGGUAAAUUUUAGCGUGGUACAGACGUGUCCUUCCGUAUCUUCAACAAGAGACAAUGUUUAGCUAUAGAUGUGUUCUCUCUCAAAAGAGGACAAGUAGAUUUUUUGUUGUUUGGAUGUAAAAACGUCUCCCGCUGUUGUGAAAAUAUAGAACCUGGUUUUCCCAACGUUUUAACUCCAUGGCCUCCUAUUAAAAUAAGGUACACUGUCCGUGUGGCUGUCUUUUAAUCUUUUUUGUGCUACAGUUCGAGUAUACUCAGUUAAUGAGAAGGAAGCUGAGAUACGCAUUGAUGCAAAAAAAAAAAGAUAAUUGCAACAUGAAGGCCAGCAUGUUGGUUCCGUCCGUGCCAUCAUUAUUCGUGUGAGCUGUGCAUAUAUCUCAAUUUGAGUACAAAUGUAUUAACUUAGUGGAGAAUGUACUUUUUAAGUGUACUACAGCUUUAGGUUUUAGAACUGUUGUCAUUCAGGUACAUUCAGAUCCCUUUAUUUUUGUACAAAAGAUAACACGGUGUCAGAGUGCUGUAGCGAAUACUAGAUGUUCACAACUGACAAUAAAAGAACUUGGCAAACCAAAA